rnacentral:rRNA from 1 species
GGGGAUUGCGGGCGCGAAUUCGCCCUUCAGGCCUAACCAUGCAAGUCGAACGGCAGCGGGUGUAGCAAUACAUGCCGGCGAGUGGCGCACGGGUGCGUAACGCGUAUGCAAUCUACCUAUAACUGGGGAAUAGCCUUCCGAAAGGAAGAUUAACACCGCAUAACAUCACGAAACGGCAUCGUUUUGUGAUCAAAACUCAGGUGGUUAUAGAUGAGCAUGCGUGACAUUAGCUAGUUGGUGAGGUAACGGCUCACCAAGGCGACGAUGUCUAGGGGGUCUGAGAGGAUGAUCCCCCACACUGGUACUGAGACACGGACCAGACUCCUACGGGAGGCAGCAGUAAGGAAUAUUGGACAAUGGCCGCAAGGCUGAUCCAGCCAUGCCGCGUGAAGGAUGAAGGUGCUAUGCAUUGUAAACUUCUUUUGUCCCGGAAUAAACCCCUGAUUUCUAUCGGGGCUGAAUGUACGGGAAGAAUAAGGGACGGCUAACUUCGUGCCAGCAGCCGCGGUAAUACGAAGGUCCCAAGCGUUAUCCGGAUUUAUUGGGUUUAAAGGGUGCGUAGGCGGGUUGUUAAGUCAGUGGUGAAAGCCUACAGCUCAACUGUAGAAUUGCCAUUGAUACUGACGAUCUUGAGUAUGGUUGAGGAGGGCGGAAUGUGUCAUGUAGCGGUGAAAUGCUUAGAUAUGACACAGAACACCGAUUGCGAAGGCAGCUCUCUAAGCCAAUACUGACGCUGAUGCACGAAAGCGUGGGGAGCAAACAGGAUUAGAUACCCUGGUAGUCCACGCCCCUAACGAUGAUCACUCGAUGUGUGCGAUAUACUGUACGCGUCUAAGCGAAAGCAUUUAGUGAUCCACCUGGGGAGUACGACCGCNAGGGUGAAACUCAAAGGAAUUGACG